rnacentral:rRNA from 1 species
UGAGGAAUAUUGGUCAAUGGGCGCGAGCCUGAACCAGCCAAGUCGCGUGAGGGAAGACGGUCCUACGGAUUGUAAACCUCUUUUGUCGGGGAGCAAUAAGGCGUACGUGUACGCAGAUGCGAGUACCCGAAGAAAAAGCAUCGGCUAACUCCGUGCCCGGAGCCGCGGUAAUACGGAGGAUGCGAGCGUUAUCCGGAUUUAUUGGGUUUAAAGGGUGCGCAGGCGGAAAGUGCAAGUCAGCGGUCAAACGACGGGGCUCAACCCCGUCUCGCCGUUGAAACUGGCGUCCUAGAGUGGGCGAGAAGUAUGCGGAAUGCGUGGUGUAGCGGUGAAAUGCAUAGAUAUCACGCAGAACUCCGAUUGCGAAGGCAGCAUACCGGCGCCCCACUGACGCUCAUGCACGAAAGCGUGGGUAUCGAACAGG